AACGAACGCUGGCGGCGUGGAUAAGACAUGCAAGUCGAACGCUGAUUAGGGGGUAGCAAUAUUCCCUAGUCGGAGUGGCGCAAGGGUGCGUAACACGUGGGUAAUCUGCCGUGAAGCCUGGGAUAACUCGCUGAAAGGCGAGCUAAUACCGGAUGUGACUACCAGGAGGCAUCUUUAGGUAGUUAAAGCUGGGGACCUGCAAAGGCCUGGCACUUCAUGAUGAGCCCGCGGCCUAUCAGCUAGUUGGUGAGGUAACGGCUCACCAAGGCUAAGACGGGUAGCUGGUCUGAGAGGACGACCAGCCACACUGGAACUGAGACACGGUCCAGACACCUACGGGUGGCAGCAGUCGAGAAUUUUUCACAAUGGGCGCAAGCUUGAUGGAGCGACGCCGCGUGGGGGAUGAAGGGUUUCGAUCCGUAAACCCCUAUCAUUUGCGAACAAACCUUGUCCGAUAACACCGGAUAAGCUGAUUGUAGCGGAAGAGGAAGGGACGGAC
rnacentral:rRNA from 1 species